rnacentral:rRNA from 1 species
AGAUUGAACGCUGGCGGCGUGCCUAACACAUGCAAGUCGAGCGGUAACAGGUGUAGCAAUACAUGCUGACGAGCGGCGAACGGGUGAGUAAUGCUUUGGAAUCUUCCCAGUAGUGGGGAAUAACCAGUCGAAAGAUUGGCUAAUACCGCAUACGUCUGUAAAGGGAAAGCGGGGGCUCGUAAGACCUCGCGCUAUUGGAUGAGCCAAAGUCGGAUUAGCUAGUUGGUGGGGUAAUGGCCUACCAAGGCGACAAUCCGUAGCUGGUCUGAGAGGACGACCAGCCACACCGGGAACUGAGACACGGUCCGGACUCCUACGGGAGGCAGCAGUGGGGGAAUAUUGGACAAUGGGGGAAACCCUGAUCCAGCGACGCCGCGUGUGUGAAGAAGGCCUGCGGGUUGUAAGCACUUUAGUGGGGACAAAAGUCACGGGCGAAUACCCUGUGAUCUUGAUUUAACCCAAAGAAAAAGCACCGGCUAACUCUGUGCCAGCAGCCGC